rnacentral:tRNA from 1 species
UCGGGAAUAUGCUCAGUUGGUAGAGCAUAACCUUGCCAAGGUUGGGGUCGCGAGUUCGAGUCUCGUUUCCCGCUCCA